rnacentral:rRNA from 1 species
AAAACAGCUAUGGGUCAAGUCCGAUAUCUUUAGGAGAAGUCUUAUUGUGAGGGCGAGUUAUAUAACACCAUAGGACUGGCCGUCCCAUAUGAAAAGAUUAUAUUAGAAUUGAAUGAAGCUUUGUUUAUAUAUUGAUAAUGACAGUAUAUAUAUCGUGUCUUGACUAAUUGCGUGCCAGCAGUCGCGGUAAUACGUAAGAGACUAGUGUUAUUCAUCUUAAUUAGGUUUAAAGGGUACCCAGACGGUCAAUAUAGCUUAUAAAAUGUUAGUACUUGACUAGAGUUUUAUGUAAGAGGGCAGUACUUGAGGAGGAGAGAUGAAAUUUCGUGAUACCAAAGGGACUCUGUAAAGGCGAAGGCAGCCCUCUAUGUAAAAACUGACGUUGAAGGACGAAGGCACAGAGAACAAACAGGAUUAGAUACCCAAGUAGUCUUUGCAGUAAAUGAUGAAUGCCAUAGGUUAGAUUGAUCAAUUAUAGUCUAGGGUUAGUCUAGCAAACUAAUGCCCUAUGAUAUAAUUCAAAAUAUCUGGUCUAUAAAUGAAAGUGUAAGCAUUUCACCUCAAGAG